GCGUUAUCCGGAUUCACUGGGUUUAAAGGGUGCGUAGGCGGGCAGGUAAGUCCGUGGUGAAAUCUCUGAGCUUAACUCAGAAACUGCCAUGGAUACUAUUUGUCUUGAAUAUUGUGGAGGUGAGCGGAAUAUGUCAUGUAGCGGUGAAAUGCUUAGAUAUGGCAUAGAACACCAAUUGCGAAGGCGGCUCACUGCACAAUUAUUGACGCUGAGGCACGAAGGCGUG
rnacentral:rRNA from 1 species